UGGGGAAUUUUGGACAAUGGGCGAAAGCCUGAUCCAGCAAUGCCGCGUGUGUGAAGAAGGCCUUCGGGUUGUAAAGCACUUUUGUCCGGAAAGAAAUCCUUGGCUCUAAUACAGUCGGGGGAUGACGGUACCGGAAGAAUAAGCACCGGCUAACUACGUGCCAGCAGCCGCGGUAAUACGUAGGGUGCAAGCGUUAAUCGGAAUUGCUGGGCGUAAAGCGUGCGCAGGCGGUUUGCUAAGACCGAUGUGAAAUCCCCGGGCUCAACCUGGGGAACUGCAUUGGUGACUGGCAGGCUAGAGUAUGGCAGAGGGGGGUAGAAUUCCACGUGUAGCAGUGAAAUGCGUAGAGAUGUGGAGGAAUACCGAUGGCGAAGGCAGCCCCCUGGGCCAAUACUGACGCUCAUGCACGAAAGCGUGGGGAGCAAACAGGAUUAGAUACCCUGGUAGUCCACGCCCUAAANGAUGUCAACUAGUUGUUGGGGAUUCAUUUCCUUAGUAACGUAGCUAACGCGUGAAGUUGACCGCCUGGGGAGUACGGUCGCAAGAUUAAAACUCAAA
rnacentral:rRNA from 1 species